rnacentral:rRNA from 1 species
GUAGCGUGAAGGAUGAAGGUUUAUGGAUUGUAAACUUCUUUUAUACGGGAAUAACGGAUCCACGCGUGGAUUUCUGCAUGUACCGUAUGAAUAAGGAUCGGCUAACUCCGUGCCAGCAGCCGCGGUAAUACGGAGGAUCCGAGCGUUAUCCGGAUUUAUUGGGUUUAAAGGGAGCGUAGAUGGGUUGUUAAGUCAGUUGUGAAAGUUUGCGGCUCAACCGUAAAAUUGCAAUUGAUACUGGCAGUCUUGAGUACAGUUGAGGUAGGCGGAAUUCGUGGUGUAGCGGUGAAAUGCUUAGAUAUCACGAAGAACUCCGAUUGCGAAGGCAGCUUACUAACCUGUAACUGACAUUGAUGCUCGAAAGUGUGGGUA